rnacentral:tRNA from 1 species
GGCGGGGUAGCUCAGAUGGUUAGAGCGCAGGAUUCAUAACCCUGAGGUCGGGGUCUCCCUUGAUA